rnacentral:misc_RNA from 1 species
UUUCCGUAGGUGAACCUGCGGAAGGAUCAUUACAGAGUUCAUGCCCUCACGGGUAGAUCUCCCACCCUUGAAUAUUUAUACCUUAGUUGCUUUGGCAGGCCGUGGAAACACCAUGGGCUCCGGCUUAUGCGUGCCUGCCAGAGGAAACAAACUCUGUUUUUAGUGAUGUCUGAGUACUAUAUAAUAGUUAAAACUUUCAACAACGGAUCUCUUGGUUCUGGCAUUGAUGAAGAACGCAGC